GUCGAGGGGUAACGAUACUUUCGAGUAGGCGACGACCGGCGCACGGGUGCGUAACGCGUAUGCAACCUACCCAUUGCUGGAGAAUAGGCCGAAGAAAUUCGGAUUAAUACUCCAUAAUGUCAUUUGAACAUAUGUUCUUAUGAUUAAAGUUCCGACGGCAAUGGAUGGGCAUGCGUGACAUUAGUUUGUUGGUGAGGUAACGGCUCACCAAGACUGCGAUGUCUAGGGGGUCUUAAAGGAUGAUCCCCCACACUGGUACUGAGACACGGACCAGACUCCUACGGGAGGCAGCAGUGAGGAAUAUUGGUCAAUGGGCGAGAGCCUGAACCAGCCAAUCCGCGUGCAGGAUGACGGCCCUAUGGGUUGUAAACUGCUUUUGUACGGGAAGAACUCCCUGACGUGUCAGGGGCUGACGGUACCGUACGAAUAAGCAUCGGCUAACUCCGUGCCAGCAGCCGCGGUAAUACGGAGGAUGCAAGCGUUAUCCGGAUUUAUUAGGUUUAAAGGGUGCGCAGGCGGAAUAGUCAGUCAGUGGUGAAAUCCUACAGCUUAACUGUAGAACUGCCAUUGAUACUGCUAUUCUUGAGUUCAGUUGAGGUAGGCGGAAUGUGUAGUGUAGCGGUGAAAUGCUUAGAUAUUACACAGAACACCGAUUGCGAAGGCAGCUUACUAAACUGACACUGACGCUGAGGCACGAAAGCGUGGGGAGCGAACAGGAUUAGAUACCCUGGUAGUCCACGCCGUAAACGAUGAUCACUCGUUGUAUGCCUUUUUUGGUAUGCGACUGAGCGAAAGCAUUAAGUGAUCCACCUGGGGAGUACGUUCGCAAGAAUGAAACUCAAAGGAAUUGACGG
rnacentral:rRNA from 1 species